AAACCAUGUAUAUUCUUGAAUGGGACGAUAAAACAAAUUUAAUGAAUUAAAGGAGAAGUCCCUGGGGUCGCCCCCACCCCGUUCAAUUUGAGAAUGUGCUUUUAUCUUGUAAACGGUCCAGAUCCCCACCCCUAAACCAUAUAUAUUCUUGUAGGGGACAAUAAAACAAAUCAAAUGAAAUUAAAGGGAAGUCCCUGGGGGUCGCCCCCACCCCGUUCAAUUUGAGAAUGUGCUAUUAUCUUGUAAACGGUCUAGAUCCCCACCCCUAAACCAUAUAUAUUCUUGUAGGGGACAAUAAAACAAAUCAAUUGCAAUUUAAGGGAAGUCCCUGGGGGUUACCC
rnacentral:lncRNA from 1 species